GGAGAGAUGGCCGAGUGGUCGAAGGCGCAGCACUGGAAAUGCUGUAAUGGGGUGACUCAUUCGAGGGUUCGAAUCCCUCUCUCUCCG
rfam:Leptolyngbya sp. Heron Island J, whole genome shotgun sequence.